AUAAAGUUUGGUUUUCGCUUUUGGACUUUGUUUUAUAGUUAUUUAAUAUAUGCAAAUUUUAGUGGUGUGUAUUUUACUAAAAGUAGAAUGGGAGGCAUGCAAUAUUUAAUAUUAACAAUAGGGUAAUUCUUGAGUUAGUAAACUAUAUUAAGUUUGAUAAAAUCUUGUGCCAGCAGUCGCGGUUAUACUUGGGAAUUAAAUGAAGUGUAUUAGUGGAAGUUAAUAAAUUAAUGUUAAAUAAAAGUUUAUAUUUAUAAAGAGUGAAAUUAGAUUAUAAAAUAUAAAAGUUUAUUUAGAGGUUAAAAUAAUGAAGCUUAAAAAAUUAAGGUAUGGAUUAGGAUUAGAUACCCUAGUACACUUAAAUUUAAUUAUUGAGCACUAGAAUAUUAGAAGUUAUAUUCUUUAAAUUUAAAAAAUUUGGCGGUAUUUUAGUCUAGUUAGAGGAACCUGUUUUAUAAACGAUACAACACGCAUUAUUUUACUUGUCUUAGUAUAUCAGUUUGUAUACCGUCAUUAUAAGAUAAUUUAUGAGAAAAUAUUAUUGAAAUCAUAUUAUUGAGUAUAUUAGAUCAAGGUGCAGCUUAUGGGUAAGUAAACAUGGGUUACAAUAAAAUUUAUUUAAUACGGAUUAAGUGUUUAAAUAUAUUUAUGAAGGAGGAUUUAAUUGUAAGGAGGGGGGCAGUGAGCUUUCCUGAUAAAAGCUCUGAAUUAUGUACAUAUCGCCCGUCGCUUUCAUUUAAGGUGAAAUAAGUCGUAACAUAGUAGAGGUACUGGAAAGUGUUUCUAGAAUUAU
rnacentral:ncRNA from 1 species